CCGCGGCUGGCCCGGAGUGAGUGCCCAGAGGAGUGAGAGGGACGUAUCCGGCUUGGCUCCUCCUAUAUUCUUUCCCCAGACGUGUCUCCAAGGAAGAAGCUCAAGAAGAAGAACCUCCAACACUUUGAAGAAUGCAGCCAUAAGAUCGUGGGAGGAGAGCAGUACUACCCAGUGAAGACUGUAGUAAAAACCAAAAGGCUCGUCAUAAAUACAGGUCACUGUCAGCUCAUAUAAUGUACAUCUAAAGCAUGCUACAGACGCACUUUGUGGA